CCUGCAGGCCUCCUUGAACUGUAGCUCAGAAGUGUGGGACUAGUGUCAUUCAUACCAGCUGAGGACUGAGAGCUCCCCAGGAAUUUUCCUUAAAAUAAACCAAAAACCAACGCUGUCUUCAAUGGAGAGAUACGCUGCAAAGAAAAUCGUAGCUGGCUGCAAAGGAAUCAUCUUUCCUGUUUAGACUGUAGAUUACCAGUGUCCAUUACUGAACUUUCUGGAUCAUCCCAUGUCAACACAAAAUUAUUGCUACACCCUACACAUGUCUCCAGGCCUUCACCAAAGAAAGGGAUAUUCAGUGGUUGAAAAUGAACCAGAAGAAAGAACUUCAGAAGAAAGAGCUGGGAAGGAUAGAAGAGAAAAAUGAAGUGAACUUUAAGAGUGGUUUGCUCUCAAUCCUAAGAAGACAUCUGCCAGCAGCCGGCUGGGAAAAUGCUGAAGUUAGUCUGAAAAGUAAUAAAGCUCGCAUGAUGUGAAACUGCACAAUGCUGAGCCCGUUCGUAACCACAACUGGAUUUCCUUGUCGUUCUGGAAAAAAAUGUGAGGUGUCUGGGGGUUUUCUUUGUUGCAAAUUUUCUUGAAGAAAAUUUUCUUUUAGGAAGGGAUUAGGAAGGGAUUUUCUUUUAGGAAGGCAGCACAGAAGGGAUUUUUGUUGGUUAGUUUUCUGUCGAAACUUUGUGAUAAUGGGCAAGCAAUAGGAUUUUGGCAGGGAGGUAUCACAUCCUGCAUUAUCGAAUGAGUUGUUCCCAUGUUAUGUACCAAGUGAGAGCCCCUUCUGGAUGUAUCGAUUUUUCUAUGCGUUUGCAUAGGAAGUCAUUACAGCCCCUAUUUAACUGAUAAAGCUUGCACAUUGUUGCAUGUUUCUGCGUGUCUUGCAGCUCCCUGGACAAGCUAUCGAUCGGGUAAGUUGCUCUAAAGAAGCAGAAAGUUGUUCUGUGCAGCUUCUUGGAUGAGACGUGAGCCUUGUUGCUAUUCCACAGUAUGCUGGCUGUCCCCUCCCUCUUUGCACAGAGCACGCUAACUUCAGAAAUGACUUGCUUCUUUCUAUUUGAGAUUUCCAGCCUGACACAUCACAGGGGAUAAAAAGAAAAGGAGGAAAAAGCACAGCUUUUCAGAUGGAGGAAACCCAGUCCUUUUCCUUGCAGGAGUCAAAAAAAAGCAACGCUUGCCCAACCCUUGCUCUGCCGUUUCCAUGUUGCUAAAACUGUUUCACACGUGUUCCGUUGGGGCACAGUUCUUCAGGGACUGCACAUUCAUUCAGAUUCAUGUAACUAUUGACCAGAAGCAAGGUUAAGUCGAGCCUGUUUAAAAAUUAACCUAUUUGGGGG
rnacentral:lncRNA from 7 species